rnacentral:rRNA from 1 species
UACGUAGGGUGCAAGCGUUAAUCGGAAUUACUGGGCGUAAAGCGUGCGCAGGCGGCUUUGCAAGACAGAUGUGAAAUCCCCGGGCUUAACCUGGGAACUGCGAUGGAAACUAGCGAGCUGGAGUGUGGCAGAGGGGGGUGGAAUUCCGCGUGUAGCAGUGAAAUGCGUAGAGAUGCGGAGGAACACCGAUGGCGAAGGCAGCCCCCUGGGCUAACACUGACGCUCAGGCACGAAAGCGUGGGGAGCAAACAGG